GCGUCAGUCGGUAGUGCAACGUUUAGCAUACGCUCCCGUAGAGAGUGAGAUCUGGGUUCGAAUCCCGGCUGACGCA